rnacentral:rRNA from 1 species
GACGAACGCUGGCGGCGUGCCUAACACAUGCAAGUCGAGCGGAGUCAGUAAGAGGAAGUUUUCGGAUGGAAUCUUAUUGAUUUAGCGGCGGACGGGUGAGUAACGCGUGAGCGACCAACCUUGCACAGGGGGAUAACGGACCGAAAGGUUCACUAAUACCGCAUGAGACCACGGUGUUGCAUGACCCGGAGGUCAAAGGGGCAAUCCGGUGCAAGACGGGCUCGAGUCCGAUGAGGUAGUUGGAGGGGUAACGGCCCACCAAGCCUAUGAUCGGUAGCCGACCUGAGAGGGUGAUCGGCCACAUUGGAACUGAGAUACGGUCCAAACUCCUACGGGAGGCAGCAGUGGGGAAUAUUGGGCAAUGGGGGAAACCCUGACCCAGCAACGCCGCGUGAAGGGAGAAGGUUUUCGGAUUGUAGACUUCUGUCCUUGGUGAAGAGAAGAAGACGGUAGCCAAGGAGGAAGCCCCGGCUAACUACGUGCCAGCCGCCGCAGUAACAC